GGAAUAUAUAAUACAAACCAUUUCCAACUCCAGCUUGACCCAGCCGAUUCUCCCUAGGCAAAAUUGCAUCAUCUUUUGAAGCACAAUAUCGGAAACAGGGGAGAAUCUGUCCUGACAGAACAAAAGUUCUAAUCAUAUACUUGGCCAAUUCCUGUUCGCACAAACUAACUUGUCACCCGCGCCAAGAGUACAACUUCUCUAAUCACAACACACAAACAUCCGAAGAGAUGCAAAGCUUAGAGUCAGCCCCACCACUGAUUACACUUUCACCUUUCCACCAAUCCGCACACAAUACCUUGUCCUUG
rnacentral:misc_RNA from 1 species